UACGUAGGGGGCAAGCGUUGUCCGGAAUCAUUGGGCGUAAAGCGCGUGUAGGCGGACUGGAAGGUCUGGUGUGAAAGCCCGGGGCUCAACCCCGGAGGGUCACUGGAAACCGACAGUCUUGAGUCCGGAAGAGGAGAGUGGAAUUCCUGGUGUAGCGGUGGAAUGCGCAGAUAUCAGGAGGAACACCUAUGGCGAAGGCAGCUCUCUGGUACGUGACCUGACGCUGAGACGCGAAAGCGUGGGGAGCGAACAGG
rnacentral:rRNA from 1 species